UUUGCACCGGGAACCCCCUUCAGACAUUAGGGCUCAUACAGAGAGCGGUCAUGGUAGCAGUGUUGAGGAGCCCCCCACCUCACCCCACCCCACCCCACAUGACCACUUCCCACCCCCUACCCAGACCUCACCACUCAGCGCUGCCAGCAUCAUCCCAGCCAGCCGGCAGCCAGACGCGGGGCCGAGGCCAGCACAGACAGCAACACAGGAGCCACCGAGGACCAAGGCCACAGAGAUAGCAGCACACAGACUGAACCAAAGGACAGCGCAUACACAGUAACCAAUAGGUGAGUAUCACAUGAUGUCAGCUCCGUUAUCUCAGCCCAAUUAUCUGCCUAAACCUGCUCAGGGGUCAGACAUUAUGGCUGUGAUUGACAACUGAUGUAACUUCUCAGAAAUUAAAGAGAAGACUUUAUUUUUUUCAUGUAGGCUACAGUCUGGUGUAUCCCUGUGAGUGGCCCCUAUGCAAUCCCCCAGACCUGUGCAACAAUUGUGUGAUUACACCAUCCCUCUUCCUGGGAUGAGGGUCAAAACUGAGCACUCAGUCACAGGUGUUUAUAUGAGCUCAGCAUAGUGUCUGGUUGCUGAGUAAUGUUCUGCGGUGUCCAUGUCCACACACUAAAACGUGCCAGAUAGAGACACUGUUCAAGGGCACAGUCAGCCCGCCAUUCUAAAUUGGCCGAAAGUCAGACACAGAGGGGAACGCUGUGUAUCAGAUUAUAUCAGAUAUCAGAUCCAAGAAAACUUGUCUGAAACCUUACUGUCACCAGUGACCCACAACAACAUCACUUCCUCCUGACAGAACGAGCUGAAGGUGUCUUCUUUACUCUGAUUCAAUUGUGUGUUUAGCUAUUUUUUACCAGCCAAACACAAACAUUAAAUAAUUACUGUAUAUAAACCAGAUGAAGUGUCAGCGCUCCAUGGGAGUUUCCUCCUCCUUCUCUUCCAUCUCCUUCCUCUUCCUCCUCCUUCUCAUCCUCCCUCCUUCACCUCCUCCUCAAGCCUCCUUGUGGUGCCUGAGGCCUGAUGUGGGUAGGCAGGAGGCUCCAGUAAUCCUGUCUUUGUGGGCCAGGCUAGUUACACGCAAAGGAAGCAGGCAUGGCACUGUGCCCCUGCCUUCCUGCCUGAAUUCUGUGGUGUUGUGACCUCAGUGACACCCAGAGGCCCAACAACAGAUGUGUCCCCUGUGAACCCAGGGACCUGGUCACCCUGACACCUACACACAUCUAGUCCAUUCACCAGCACCUAGCAUAGACAUAUCACACCUCUCCAGUGAGGGAUCCUCUCCCAUAUUAUUAGGGUAUCAGUUCAAAAGUUAUUAGAAUGUUAUAAUGUUCUAUCAAGUUAACUGAUUAUUUCAUCUAAUGUAUAUGAGUACACCAGUUUAAUUAUCAAGUAAUAAGCAUUAAGAAUCAACUGGGAAAUGGUGCCCACAAACUUUAUGUGAGAAAGGAGUGAGAGCAAGGCUAACGGUAUGUGGAAUGAGUUAGAUCAUUUUUUUAAAUGGAAGCUCCAGUACAGUAGCAGUGAUCUAGGGAGAGAUUUCAAAGCCACAGGGAUGAGAGGUAAGGCUGAUGGAGGAAUCCUGGGUGUAAUGUGAAGAAUAGAGGAAGUAUACUGAGAGCAGAGGGAGAGAGGGAGCUCCUGGUAUGUGUCCCAAUUGGCACCCUGUUCCCUAUAUAGUGCACUACUUUUGACCAAAAGUAGUGCACUCUAUGGGGAAUAGGGUACCAUUUGGGACUUAAUUGUUUGUUUGCUCUGCGGCUGGGAGUCCUGCAGUUAGGGGUUUAGUUUGGGCGAUGCUCCUGGCACCCUACCCCCUCUGUGGUAGCUGUGAGAAGAACGUGCUGGAACAGGAGAAUGGCCCACACCCCUGCUGUCAUGAUGGCAGCAUCUCUCUCAACAGCGUGCUGCUGAUUAAAACUCUGUGGCCACAAUCCAACAUGGCUGAAGCUCCUCAAAAAUCAGUGCCAAAACGCAUUCCAAAACACCCCAAGUACUCCAAUCCCCAUGUAGGGAUUAGGGGUGUGGGAAUUUGGGAAUGUCAGUGGGAUUGCAGGGAUUAGGGUUGUGGGAACAGGGAGGAAUGUCAGUGGGAGUGACGAGUUGAGGGCACAGGGACAGGAAGGAGCAACAUUUAAAUAUGCAGGCAGGCAGGGGUCAAAGUCAUUUCCUGUUCUCCAACAUAACAUUUACAGCACACACACAUUCCCCCAAUAUACAGCAAGCCUCAGUCUUUAUGGUACCUCCCUCUUACAGUUUGAUACUGGAAUGGGACUGUACAGACAACUGUCACAAUGUACUUAUGUGUGGUUCAUGCUGUUCGUUGAGCGCUCUAAAGAAUCCUCCAAUGCUCUUCUUACCCACAGGUCAGUCUGCACUGGGGUCUUAGGACCUCUUUGGUUUCUUACCUAACUCCAACUUUCUUAGUCAGAACUAUCCUAUAGCGAUGUGAAGAGAAGACAGGUAAGGUAAAUCUGGGGGGGCCUGCCAGAACACUGGCGUUGAUGUUUUACUGUGUAGGUCUAUUGCUUGGUCCUCAGGCCCCAGGUGCAGUGCUGCAUCUCUGGUCAAUUGGGAGUCUGAGAUGAAGCACUGUAGCUCGGGAAGGGGGGCGCAGCUACAACGGGGUGAGCAGUCUGAGUGGUGGCCCCAUGUCUAUACCUCUCUGCCUUAUUUUAGACGGUCUUCUAAUGGAGACCUAUGUUCAGGAUAUUAGGGAUGGAGGGCCCCCGUGACUGGUGCUGCCCCUCCCAGCCUCUCUCUCUCUCUCUCUCUCUCUCUCCCAGGUCUGGCCACAUAUCUGAGAUGCCAUAUCAUCGCUCCACCCAUGAUGUUUACCUCUGCUUCAUACAGCCGUGUGGUCCAGUAAAGACUAUAGUUACUGGUGUGUUUUCCAUGCUUUAAUUCACCACCUCCUCCUGAGUGCAUUUGCUGCAUUACCCUGGCCUUUUCCUCGCUCCCGGGGUCCAGUUUUCCCAGGAAUCCCUUGGGCAAUCACAAGGGGGAUUCCUGGAAAUACUGUUCUUGGGGGUGGGGCUUGACUACAUGGAUCUGGGAUAGUAAUACAAUCUGCUCGUGAUAUGUUCCACAGACAUGUGUGAUGUAAUGGAAAAUUCUAUGAACGGGGAAGGACAAUGAAGGAAGAUAGAACGAAUGCUACACUAUUUUAUAUCUUGAUGCAAGGCCUGGCCUGGAUAAAUACUCUUAUGUAUAUGUGUCUUUACCUUUUGAUAUGAAUUUUACUAUGUCAGAGAAUCUUUAUAAACUCAUACAAUUUCAUAUUAGCUAUAAUAUAACUUUUUCAUAUCAAAUGUGCCACGUAAUUUUUUUAAAAACUGUCAAUAAAUGUCAACAUUUUCAACA